GGGGGGGACAAGAUGGCGGCGGGCGUCGCUUGCGGGCCGGCGGGAAAAGGCCCUCCGCGGGGUUCUGCUCUUGAAGGAGGGCCUGGUGCGCCGCUCCGGCGUUCUCUCAGCGCCUCGGGCUGCGGUUGCAGAGUUCCAUUAUAAGUAUUAGUAAUGGGCUCAUGGUGUAAAAACCUCUCUGCGUGUUAUCAGAUUUUGGAGUUAGAAGUUAGGUGAAUCAAAACGCGGAGUGCUUCCUAAUAAUUAAGUUUAGUAUGUCUUGGUAAAAAUGAAUUUGAUCUCUUUGGGACUGAUAAUUAAACCUUGAAGCAGGCCGGAGUGCUAGAAGUCCUUCGUGUGUUUGUACAUCACCUUCCAUCAGGGCCACAAAGCAUCCAUCUCCUGUGAGCAGGGGUUUGUGCUGACUGCUGUGCCUUGGUGGUAGGCACUAAGAAGACUGUGGGUGAGGCACAAUCUGUGGAGUCAUCUUGCUGUCUGUCAGGUGCUCCUGCCCUGCAGAGAGCUGCAAAAAGAUAUUUGCUGAAUCACCCUGGCUUGAUUUAACACACAGUCUAGCAUAAGGAGAGCUUGGAGAACCUACACUGAGCACUACAAUGUCAGCCUCUCCUGCCCUUGGGUGGGAAUUAAUGGAAACUGCUUUUGCUUAGUGACGUUCACAACCCAAUUGGAGAGAUAAGGCUAAGUUUGUCAACCAUUUUCUUAGGAAGAGCUUUGAUGGCUGUCAAGUGAAGCCUUAAUAAUAGCUAAUGUGCUUCUUAAUUAAUUUGUCUCAAGGGAUGAGUACUAUGCAUGUGGUACUGGGAUCCUGCAUAGAAAUUGCCCUGUGAAAUCACCAAGAGGAGUAAAAAUUCCUCUCCGCAUCUGUGUAGUAGGAAUUUCUCAAUCAAAGUAAGAAAUAAAGUUGGUCUGGAGCCACCCUGAAAUGUGUAAGUAUAGCUGAAAAUGUAGGAAAAGAAUCUGAAGGGAUACAUGCAGCAGAGAUUUCCUUAUUCACACGGUGAUUUCCUGGAGCGGUGAAAAGCAAAUACAAACAUUAGGAUAAAAAGAUCAAAGAGAGAAACUGAAAUGUAAUUAAGUUACAUGUAAGGCACUCGUUAGUUUAAAGUCUUGGUAAAGACCAGUGGUAACCAAACUAGAUAGAAAAGUCAAUGAAUUGUUCCACCAGUAUCUGAACAAACUGAGUGAUGGAGGAACUUGUUCCUCUUAGUGCGGCAGUAUUCACAUUUGGCAUUGAUGUAAAUAUUCAAGAUAGAAAGGCCAAAAAGCAUAUUGUGAGCAAAAGACAGAAACAAAAUUUCCUGCUGCCAAGCUUGUCCUUUUGCCAAGAGUGCAAUUAAAAACACCACCUUGCCUUGCCAUCUCCGAAUAAAUUCUUUGACGUGUAGGGAAUACAAAGCUCCGCACUGUGCAGACCAACGUGAGCUGUAUGUUCUAGAAAGUGCUUUUAAAAAAAAAAUAAUCCAAAACUUUGCUAUUGGGAUUUUUGUUUUCCCAGCACUUAGAAAAGAAUAUGCCGUAUUGCUUCACCAAGUGUGUGGGUAGGCAUACAUGUACGCUUUAAAAUAAAAAACCAAAAUACCAUGGAAUCUGUCCUUUCUCUUUUCUUGGCUGAGACAGGUGACCAGGACAAUGAAUGCAGACUAUUCUGUUGCAUUCUCCUGGUUGCCAAGUCACCCUCGCUAAGGAACUGCAAUGGAAUUUGCUUAAGUGACACCUUGAUAGAUUGCCAGGGAAAAGGAAUUGUGCUGUGCGUUUUAGCGAUUGCGUGGAUCAAUCUGCACACCUAUGCUGAAAAGGUUGUCUUAAUGGGCACAUAUCUUAGCCUGGAGGAUUCUUUGUUUGCUAACAAGCUUUCCUUCAGCUUGCUGUUAUUUUUCUCUAUAUUGUGGCUGCAGAGAUAAAGUAACUGAUAUGGAAUUUGAUUUUUUGGUUGCAAAUUCUUAAGUCUGUUUCUGACUCCUAGCCAAGGUCGUUGUGUUUAUUAUCUUGCUGCUUUUGGAGAAAGGAACUCUGUAUUUGUGCAAAGCUCUCAUUUUCUUUGGAGAGAAUGAAGUCAUCUCCUGUUUGUGUAGUAAGAUAAAAUAUUUUAGCAGCUUCUUUACAGAACAAGUUGCCAAUUUGUGUGAUUUUUUUUUUUUCUUGAAAAAUAGAAAAUCUCUAUGAAGCAGAUAUUUUCCUUGCUGAUAAUGCUGACUUUCCAAGGGCAGCUGAAACAUAGAAGAAAGAGAAAAAAUCCUAAAUGGACCAAAGAUUUGUGUGUGGGAAGAAGAGUUUGAGUAUUUGAAGAUCUUGAGGGCUUUACUGAAAAGAAAAAGGCAAUUUUGAAAAGAACUAGAUGGCAAAGCACUACACAAAGCAGGGAGGGCAAGCAGCUAUGUGGAAGAACAAGCAAACUGAAGGUGAAGGAAACUGAAGGAGCAACCAGAGCCAAGUUACCAGUACAGCUCCUUAUCACAGGAUGGAGGAGGGGAGCAGAAUAGUGUCUGUUUCCAUCAGUUGGGAUGGAUGGCAUUGAUCUGCAGAGUGUUGCUUUGUAAUGGAAUGGCCAAAGGGGACCCACGUGCAAUGAAAAAGCCCAUGAGAUGAUUAACAGUUUGACAGUAUUGCUCCACAGUGCAAGGUAUGUGCAAGACAAUUAAUACAUUACUUUCUUUUUCUCUCCUUCCCUCCCUCUCCUACAUUAAUAACGCUGCCCUUGUGGUUUUGGAACAAGAUCAGCUUUGUAGACAUAUAAUCAAAUAUGUGUGGAGGGGGGAGGAAAACCACUCCGUGUUUAAAG